GGGGCCAGCAGGGGAAGCAGUGGUCACAAGCAGAGGUUGGAAGCUGGCUUAUUAAGAUGAAAGGGAAGAAGGAAAUCUUCUGCAUGGCUGCAUCUCAAAAAGCAGGUAUUUCUCAAAGAAAUUGGCCCAGUUUGUCCUAGCUCUGGUUUGGGUCUGCACCCAGUCCCUGGUGGGAUCUAGAAGAGCUUUUGGGGUCAUACUACUUCCCUCCCCUUGGUCAUCUUCAUGAGAUGUACAUCCAUCCCAAAACAACACUGCUGACCCACACAGAGAGGAAGCUGUUUGUAGCACCACAAAAGCUUCUUGGCUGACCCACCAAGGCAAAGAGAAACCGGACUGCAGUAGUGCAACUGUCCAACAUGUUUGCCUGCCCCACACCUACAGAGAGUCCCUUGAAAAUCCAUUUGAAAUGAACAAAAACAAAGUAAGGAUUUCAGUGCAGGUUUGGUCUGUAGAUUCAAACAUUAUUGAGCUGUACUGGCACGUUAUCAAUGGCACUUUCCAAAUUGAUAUUGACAGCAAAAAUCAUACUGUUGACAUCAGUAGUUUGUGAAAAAUUGAAUGAUCGAGCAUCAGCUGUUGUGCCUGAGAAUUUCUGUCUUUAUUUCAAGUGCCACAGUGACUGCUUCCUACCCAAACAUGCUCCUCUGCUGCAAGGGACUGCCCAAGUAGGAUGUACACAGGGCUGCCACCUGAAAUGUCUGCCUGCUCCCCAUGCCCGCUUCUGUCCUCGGGUGUUCAUUGAGCUUUGCCUUGCAGCACUGUCACAGCCUCAGCUGCCCCACUUCCUUCUGCUGUGAAGGACUGCAGGAAGAGGUCAGUUAGAGAAACUGCAGGCUUAGCUGAUGCAGAUGCGCUUCAGCAGCAGACUGCAGUGGUGUCGGCUGAGGAAGGCUGUGAAAGGUAGAGAGGCAGUUGUUUUACUUUUGUCUUUCUGCCAGUUGUCCCAUUGCCCAGAGUGUGUGAUUUGUGAGUUUCCUUUGGCAUGGCUGCUCCAUUGCUUAUAUAUCUCUGAGCAGUGUUUCAGGUCAGUUGGUCCGUGGGGUGGUGGCCAUCUUUUAUUUCAAGGGGGAUAGAGUUCAGGGGUAGGAUCAAAUGUGUGGAGGAGACGGCAGCCAGGUGGAGAUCACAUUAGUGUUGUUAAAUUUAUUUCUAGCAUGGGAAGGGUGAGUGUUAGCGAGAGAGAACAAGCCUGAAAGAUGUCCUUUGAGACAAGGCCAGGAAAGAAAGCCUUGGGAUGCAGCUUUGGCUGUAGAGCAAUCUGGGCUGAGAUUCUUUUGAAUUUUUGGGGCCACCGCUUUGCCAUUAAUGUUUUUGUAAGUAUAUUUCAUACAUUUAAUGUAUGAAACUGUAUGAAAUGUAUGAAAUGACACUUCAUUUCCUAAU
ensembl:lncRNA